rnacentral:lncRNA from 1 species
UCCCAUAUAAGAGCUGCCUCCACCACUGCUUCAUCGUUAGAUUCUCUGGGUUUGUUUUUCUUUUUUGGGUCUCGUUAGCCAUAGUGCUGAAUUGGCCAGCAGAACCCAUGCAGGAUGUGUUGUUUCACUAGAAUACAACUUUGGCUGGCUUUGCUGGUUCUUGUCAUUGCUUUCCAUAAUGGCAGCAUUGCAAAUGGGUGGCAUUCAGCCUUCCCUGGCUCCACAAAAGGAGGCAGAGGUACAUAUGACCUGUACUUUGGCAGUUCUGGUGUAGAUGAGCCAUACGAGGCAGGGACUGCUCAAGUAAGACCUAGCCAGAGUGGGACUUACUACUCUAGUGCAGCUGUUGGCAGUUCACAGGCCACACAUGCAGGAUCUUUCCAAAUGUCAGGGGGCAGGUCCGAACUGUUCUCUCCCUUCAGGCCAGCCCAGACUGCGUCUUCCCCUGUUUGGAGCAGGUAUCGGCCAUCCCAGGUAGGACCCAGCCGAAGGACUGGAUACCAGAGCUACCAGCAAACCUCUGGGUCGCCGCAUACUACAUACCACCCUGUACAGAGCACCUACCGGUCAUCCAUGGGCAACUGGAAACCACAAGCUGUAUCUAGACCAGUGGGGAGUACCCAAGAACAAGCAUCUCCAGCCAAGCCAGCCCAGAGGAGUUCCAACCCUGGCAGUCAGAACUGGCAGUCUCCAUCGGUGUCUAGUGGUCAUCCAUAUGCUGAACCUGAGCAAAAUGGGCAAACCUCCAGACCAGCACAGGGUAACUACCAGCACUCCCAGACUCGAUUUACACAAAGCUCUGAGGCCCAACACAGUGAUGGCACCAGGAAACCAGCAGCUGCUGCUGCUAAGCCAGUCCAGAGAUGGCGCUCUCCUUCAGUGUCUCCAUAUGCUAAGCCUGAGCAAAACAGGCAGACCUCCAGACCAGCACAGGGUAACUACCAGCACUCCCAGACUAGAUUUACACAAAGCCCUGAGGCCCAACACAGUGAUGGCACCAGGAAACCAGCAGCUGCUGCUGCUAAGCCACUCCAGAGAUGGCGCUCUCCUUCAGUGUCUCCAUAUGCUAAGCCUGAGCAAAACAGGCAGACCUCCAGACCAGCACAGGGUAACUACCAGCACUCCCAGGCUAGAUUUCCAGCCAGUUCUGUGGCCCACCACGCUGGUGGCACCAGGAAACCAACAGCUCCUAAGCCAGUCCAGAGUGGCUCAAGGCCUGAGGUUACGUCUCAGUCUGACAGAAUUCAUGGGCCAUCAUAUCCAGUCCAGAGCAGUCAACAAGGUCAUGCUCAGACUAGGGGCUAAAGGUAUGUUUGUCUGAAGUACUCUUUUAAUAGCUUUACUGUUGAUGGACGUGCUGUUUACCUUCUUGGUUCUUCCUGAUUUUAGGUUUGGAGAAUGUAGUGUUUAAAUGAAGAUAAGCCCUGUGUCAAUGAACUUUAAUUGAGAGGUUGCAAGAAGAUACAAGUGUUCUCAUGUAUUAACUGUGCCUUUUCUUGUUUCUAGAUGUUCCUUGAAAUGCAGCUUCAAUAAAUGUCUGCUUU